rnacentral:rRNA from 1 species
GGGGAAUAUUGCACAAUGGGCGAAAGCCUGAUGCAGCGACGCCGCGUGCGGGAUGAAGGCCUUCGGGUUGUAAACCGCUUUUAAUUGGGAGCAAGCGAGAGUGAGUGUACCUUUUGAAUAAGCACCGGCUAACUACGUGCCAGCAGCCGCGGUAAUACGUAGGGUGCAAGCGUUAUCCGGAAUUAUUGGGCGUAAAGAGCUCGUAGGCGGUUUGUCACGCCUGGUGUGAAAGUCCAUCGCUUAACGGUGGAUCUGCGCCGGGUACGGGCAGGCUAGAGUGCAGUAGGGGAGAUUGGAAUUCCCGGUGUAACGGUGGAAUGUGUAGAUAUCGGGAAGAACACCAAUGGCGAAGGCAGAUCUCUGGGCUGUUACUGACGCUGAGGAGCGAAAGCAUGGGGAGCGAACAGGAUUAGAUACCCUGGUAGUCCAUGCCGUAAAACGGUGGAUGCUGGAUGUGGGACCCUUCCACGGGUUCCGUGUCGGAGCUAACGCGUUAAGCAUCCCGCCUGGGGAGUACGGCCGCAAGGCUAAAACUCUAAAGUGAA